AGGGUUUGAUUCUGGCUCAGGAUGAACGCUGGCGGCGUGCUUAACACAUGCAAGUCGAACGGACGAUGAAGAGCUUGCUUUUCAGAGUUAGUGGCGGACGGGUGAGUAACGCGUGGGUAACCUGCCUCAUACAGGGGGAUAGCAGCUGGAAACGGCUGAUAAAACCGCAUAAGCGCACAGCAUCGCAUGAUGCAGUGUGAAAAACUCCGGUGGUAUGAGAUGGACCCGCGUCUGAUUAGCUGGUUGGUGAGGUAACGGCCCACCAAGGCGACGAUCAGUAGCCGGCCUGAGAGGGUGACCGGCCACAUUGGGACUGAGACACGGCCCAA
rnacentral:rRNA from 1 species